rnacentral:rRNA from 1 species
UACGGAAGGCAGCAGUGGGGAAUAUUGCACAAUGGGCGAAAGCCUGAUGCAGCUAUGCCGCGUGUAUGAAGAAGGCCUUAGGGUUGUAAAGUACUUUCAUCGGGGAGGAAAAAACAAAACUAAUAAUUUUAUUUCUUGACGUUACCCGAAAAAGAAGCACCGGCUAACUCCGUGCCAGCAGCCGCGGUAAUACGGAGGGUGCUAGCGUUAAUCAGAAUUACUGGGCGUAAAGAGCACGUAGGUGGUUUUUUUAAAGUCAGAUGUGAAAUCCCUGGGCUUUAACCUAGGAACUGCAUUUUGAAACUGAAAUACUAGAGUAUCGUAGAGGGAGGUAGAAUUCUAGGUGUAGCGGUGAAAUGCGUAGAUAUCUGGAGGAAUACCUGUGGCGAAAGCGGCCUCCUAAACGAAUACUGACACUGAGGGUGCGAAAGCGUGGGGAGCAAACAGGGAUUAGAUACC